UACGAAGGGGGCUAGCGUUGUUCGGAAUUACGGGGCGGAAAGCGCGCGCAGGCGGCUAUCCAAGUCAGUGGUGAAAGCCCGGAGCUCAACUCCGGAACUGCCAUUGAAACUGUUUAGCUGGAGUAUGAGAGAGGUGAGUGGAAUUCCCAGUGUAGAGGUGAAAUUCGUAGAUAUUGGGAAGAACACCGGUGGCGAAGGCGGCUCACUGGCUCACUACUGACGCUCAUGCGCGACAGCGUGGGGAUCAAACAGG
rnacentral:rRNA from 1 species